UCCUGGUUAGCUCAGGUAGUAGAGCGCUCCAUUGGAAAUGGACAUUAUCGGGUCCAAUACCCGGACCAUGCG
rnacentral:tRNA from 1 species